rnacentral:rRNA from 1 species
GACAGAGGGUGCAAACGUUGUUCGGAAUUACUGGGCGUAAAGCGCGUGUAGGCGGUCGCGUAAGUCGGAUGUGAAAGCCCUCGGCUCAACCGGGGAAGUGCACCCGAAACUGCGUGACUUGAGUCUCGGAGAGGAUAGUGGAAUUCUCGGUGUAGAGGUGAAAUUCGUAGAUAUCGAGAGGAACACCGGUGGCGAAGGCGGCUAUCUGGACGAUGACUGACGCUGAGACGCGAAAGCGUGGGGAGCAAACAGG